rnacentral:rRNA from 1 species
AUGAACGCUAGCGGCGUGCCUAAUACAUGCAAGUCGAGCGAACAGACGAGGAGCUUGCUCCUCUGACGUUAGCGGCGGACGGGUGAGUAACACGUGGAUAACCUACCUAUAAGACUGGGAUAACUUCGGGAAACCGGAGCUAAUACCGGAUAAUAUAUUGAACCGCAUGGUUCAAUAGUGAAAGACGGUUUUGCUGUCACUUAUAGAUGGAUCCGCGCCGCAUUAGCUAGUUGGUAAGGUAACGGCUUACCAAGGCAACGAUGCGUAGCCGACCUGAGAGGGUGAUCGGCCACACUGGAACUGAGACACGGUCCAGACUCCUACGGGAGGCAGCAGUAGGGAAUCUUCCGCAAUGGGCGAAAGCCUGACGGAGCAACGCCGCGUGAGUGAUGAAGGUCUUCGGAUCGUAAAACUCUGUUAUUAGGGAAGAACAAAUGUGUAAGUAACUAUGCACGUCUUGACGGUACCUAAUCAGAAAGCCACGGCUAACUACGUG